GAUCCUGGCUCAGGGUGAACGCUAGCUACAGGCUUAACACAUGCAAGUCGAGGGGCAGCAUUUUAGUUUGCUUGCAAACUAAAGAUGGCGACCGGCGCACGGGUGAGUAACACGUAUCCAACCUGCCGAUAACUCUGGGAUAGCCUUUCGAAAGAAAGAUUAAUACCGGAUGGCAUAGGAUUAUCGCAUGAUAAUCCUAUUAAAAAAUUUCGGUUAUCGAUGGGGAUGCGUUCCAUUAGGCAG
rnacentral:rRNA from 1 species